UGGCGGUUCCUCGCACCGCAAAGUCGCUAACCCCGUCAGGCCCGGAAGGGAGCAGCGGCAGCGAUGGACGCGGGUGCCGAGGGUUAGCUGUUAUGG
rnacentral:SRP_RNA from 1 species